CUUUGUGACAUACCUCAACUGUUGCUUCGGCGGGUAGUCGUCCCCUGAAAAGGACGUCUCCCGGCCCCCUCCCGUCCGCGGGUGGGGCGCCCGCCGGAGGAUAACCAAACUCUGAUUUAACGACGUUUCUUCUGAGUGACACAAGCAAAUAAUCAAAACUUUUAACAACGGAUCUCUUGGUUCUGGCAUCGAUGAAGAACGCAGCGAAAUGCGAUAAGUAAUGUGAAUUGCAGAAUUCAGUGAAUCAUCGAAUCUUUGAACGCACAUUGCGCCCGCCAGCAUUCUGGCGGGCAUGCCUGUUCGAGCGUCAUUUCAACCCUCAAGCUCUGCUUGGUGUUGGGGCUCUACGGUUGACGUAGGCCCUCAAAGGUAGUGGCGGACCCUCCCGGAACCUCCUUUGCGUAGUAACAUUUCGUCUCGCAUUGGGAUUCAGAGGGACUCUUGCCGUAAAACCCCCAAUUUAUCUAAGGUUGACCUCGGAUCAGGUAGGAAUACCCGCUGAACUUAAGCAUAUCAAUAAAG
rnacentral:rRNA from 1 species